rnacentral:rRNA from 1 species
CCCUUAGAUGUUCUGGGCCGCACGCGUGCUACACUGAGUGGAUCAGCGGGUCAGGUUGCGCGAAAGUGUUUCCUAAUCUUUAAAUCCGCUCGUGAUGGGGAUUGACGGUUGCAAUUUUCCGUCAUGAACGAGGAAUACCUUGUAAGCGCGGGUCAUCAUCCCGCGCUGAAUACGUCCCUGCCCUUUGUACACACCGCCCGUCGCUCCUACCGAUUGAGUGUUCCGGUGAGGCUUUGGGAUCUGAGCGGAAAGAGCGUUUCGCUGUUUCUGCCCGGAAAACUCAGUCGAACCUUAUCAUUUAGAGGAAGGAGAAGUCGUAACA